rnacentral:rRNA from 1 species
CCUACGGGAGGCAGCAGUGAGGAAUAUUGGUCAAUGGACGCAAGUCUGAACCAGCCAAGUAGCGUGCAGGAUGACGGCCCUCCGGGUUGUAAACUGCUUUUAGUUGGGAAUAAAAGGGGGCUCGUGAGCCCCGUAUUGUAUGUACCAUCAGAAAAAGGACCGGCUAAUUCCGUGCCAGCAGCCGCGGGAAUACGGAAGGUCCGGGCGUUAUCCGGAUUUAUGGGGUUUAAAGGGAGCGUAGGCCGGCUUUUAAGUCAGCUGGGAAAGUCCGCGGCUCAACCGUGGAAUUGCAGUUGAAACUGGAGGCCUUGAGUGCACACCGGGCUGCCGGAAUUC